rnacentral:rRNA from 1 species
UACGUAGGUGGCAAGCGUUGUCCGGAAUUAUUGGGCGUAAAGCGCGCGCAGGUGGUUUCUUAAGUCUGAUGUGAAAGCCCACGGCUCAACCGUGGAGGGUCAUUGGAAACUGGGGAACUUGAGUGCAGGAGAGAAGAGUGGAAUUCCACGUGUAGCGGUGAAAUGCGUAGAGAUGUGGAGGAACACCAGUGGCGAAGGCGACUCUUUGGCCUGUAACUGACACUUGAGGCGCGAAAGCGUGGGGAGCAAACAGG